rnacentral:lncRNA from 10 species
AGCCGUAGGUGCCACUGUCACUCUUGUUGAGGAAAGGGAAGAUCAGGGCACUCUCCUGGGUCAUCUUCAGGGGUGGCACACUGCCCUCCUUCUCCCAUAGGUACUGCUGGGGGCUGUCGAGGCAGACAAAUCAGAAGAGCUCAGGAGAGCAUAGGCCAGGGAGCUAAAAGAAAAAAAAAAAUAACUGGGAGCAGGGAUGUCAAGGACUGUUUGAUGAGGCUGGAGAAAUUAUCGGGGCCAGAGACACUGGAGCUGCUAUACGCCAGGUGGCCUCUUGGGGUUCGUUCUGGGGAAGCUGUAGAUCUCCAGACUUGUAUCUUACUUUAACUUGGCCUUUGUGGGAAACUCAGGGACUGAGUUAGGGAGUGGCCCCUUCCCAUUUGUGCUGCUUUGCAGAAGAACUAAUUGCAGGCGGACAUUAUUGGACAGUCAGGGAAAUGAGAGGCUCAGGUCAGACAAUACAGAGGAGAUAGGAAGGAGCUGUUAUGUGAAGAAGGCAAUCUGAGAAUGUGGAGAGUAAGGAGGAGACCAGGAAAUGGAUCUUCUUACACUGGAUUGCCGCGACCCUCACAGUGUAGCAACAGCUUCUGGCCCUCACGAGGAUGGGGAGGGUCUGGCCUAAUCAUCGCAGUUGGUGUGUCUGUGGAGAAGGAAAUGGUAUCAAUGAAUACCUCCCCACACGGCUUAGGAGAUUCCCUCACUUAGUUGCACACUACAGCUUCUACCUCUAAAUGUUUCCGCAGCUCAAGAAGUGCAACAAAGACCUUCCUUCUCCUACUUCUCAUGAACAAGGACCAUUAUUGCUAUUGAAUAUGUGAGCAACUUCUCUUGCAACCUUGUGUGAUAGGAUUCUGGAAGGUCUGUCCUUGGUGGGCCCUAAGAGAUGUCUUAACAGAAAGCUGAGAAGGGAAAUGAGUGGUUUACCUGUGCCUAGCAAACCUCCUAGCACAUAGGAAAGACCUAAUACAUAUUUUUUACAGAACAAAUAAAGUUGAACUUGUCACAUAUUGAGCUCACAA